rnacentral:rRNA from 1 species
AUUGUGUUCUAGAGAAGCCGUAUCAGUUCCGACAGCGGGCAAGAGUCUCCUGGAAUGGAGCGCCAUGGAGGGUGACAGCCCCGUUCAUGCCUGCUGAGCGGAAUGUACGAUCGGUUUUCAACGAGUCGAGUUGUUUGGGAUUGCAGCUCUAAGUGGGUGGUAAAUUCCAUCUAAAGCUAAAUAUUGGUGGGAGACCGAUAGCGAACAAGUACCGUGAGGGAAAGAUGAAAAGAACUUUGAAAAGAGAGUUAAAGAGUACCUGAAAUUGCUGAAAAGGAACCGAUGGGAGGUAGUGUUGGCUGGCAGUCCUUGCGUCUGUUAGCAAGUCAGGCUUCCUUCGCUGCGCGGGAUAGGCUUUCCAACCUGUAUGGGUGGAUUUUGCCGUCGUGCGGUUGAGGGACUCUGACGAAAUGCCUCUUAUCAACCCGUCUUGAAACACGGACCAAGGGGUCUAACAUGUGUGCGAGUGCUCGGGGUGUACCCCCCAGCGCGGAAUUAACGUGAAGGUGGCUUCGGCCACUGAGGUAGGAUGCUUACGCUGCACUAUCGACCGACCAUGAUCCCUCGGGAGAAAGGUUUGAGUGUGAGCAUACAUGUUGGGACCCGAAAGAUGGUGAACUAUGCCUGAGUAGGGCGAAGCCAGGGGAAACUCUGGUGGA